CCUACGGGAGGCAGCAGUGGGGAAUCUUGCACAAUGGAGGAAACUCUGAUGCAGCGAUGCCGCGUGAGUGAAGAAGGCCCUUGGGUUGUAAAGCUCUCUUGUCGGGAAAGAUAAUGACUGUACCCGAAGAAUAAGGUCCGGCUAACUUCGUGCCAGCAGCCGCGGUAAUACGAAGGGACCUAGCGUAAUUCGGAAUUACUGGGCGUAAAGCGCGCGUAGGCGGUUAAGUAAGUUAAUUGUGAAAGCCCAAAGCUCAACUUUGGAAUUGCAAUUAAAACUAUUUAGCUAGAGUUUAUCAGAGGAAAGCGGAAUACAUAGUGUAGAGGUGAAAUUCGUAGAUAUUAUGUAGAACACCAGUUGCGAAGGCGGCUUUCUGGGAUAACACUGACGCUGAGGUGCGAAAGUAUGGGUAGCGAAGAGGAUUAGAUACCCUCGUAGUCCAUACCGUAAACGAUGACUGUUAGAUGUUGGAAAUUUAUUUUCAGUAUCACAGCUAACGCGUUAAACAAUCCGCCUGGGGAGUACGACCGCAAGGUUAAAACUCAAAUGAAUUGACGG
rnacentral:rRNA from 1 species